rnacentral:lncRNA from 1 species
GUAAUGCGCUGGAGGAGAGCCAAGCGGGAGUUUCCCUGGACAAGCCAUCGGAACAGAGUAGCCUGGGCUUCUUGGAAAUCUGAGUGUGUCCCCAAACCGCCGCCUCUGGUGUACAACCAAAGGAGGAGUCACGACUGUUCCAGUGCUGGAGGGAAAGCUGGCUGAGAGAACCCGUUCUGUCCCCAGCGCGACUGGAUUGCUGACUCUGAUGGCAGACUCUUUGCCGGCUGAGCUGUGAGGGAGCCCCCUGGAUAGUAUAGGAAGCUAUAUGAAGGCCCUGUGACGGUGUGCGAUGGACCAGAGUCUCAGAAGGAGCAUAUGGAGAAGACAUGGAGAAACAGGCAUCGUGCCAGCACCUAGAGCGACCGCAGCGCCGCUCAGCACGCGCUUAGACACGCCACGAAGACACUCGCCGGUCUGCCUGGACGUGGAGCAUUGUCCAGCGAGAAACCUCCAGCAUAAAACUUCACAAACCACUUUGAACACAUUGAAACACUGUGGGCUCUGGGGAUGCCUGGACCCCCCAAAACUGGAAAAGGCAGGAAGGAGCCUGGGAGAGCCUCUGGAGGGAGCGCUGUGCUGGGACACCCUGACCUCAGACAUCUGGUCUCCAGGACUGACCAGGGGCAGGCUUCUGUUGCUCCAAGCAUCUGUGUGUGGUCGUUUGUCUCCACCGCCCCAGGAAGCUCAUGCAGCUGGAUGUAACGAAAGUCUUUAA